GGUUGUGGCUCAGUGGUAGAGCACUUGCCUGGCAUGUAUGAGGCCCUGGGUUCAACCCUCAGCAACACA
rnacentral:tRNA from 1 species